UAAAAUAAAUCCCCAAAACUCUUCAAAAUAUAUAUAUGAGAACUAUGCAGCAAUUCAUCUUGGGGUCUCCUGAGAGAUUACCUUGUUGGGAGACCCUGAAGAGCAGAUCCUGAAUCCGUGACUGAAGGGAUAACACCAUUGUCCUCUGACCAAAGAGUAAACUGUAGGAAAUUACGCUGUCUGGCAAGGAAGCCUCUUAAGCAAAACAGGCCAGAUCAGAUCAGAUGAUAUUAUUAAACCCUUCAAAAAAGGCUUAUGGGUUAGGAUAGCAGAAAUCCGUUUUCCCCAUUGAUGCUUGUCUUGGCUGUCAGAAACAGAUGCAAAGCUAUCCAGAGGCCAUUACAGAGAACAUCUCCUACAGAGAAAAGACAUCGCCUAGAAUAUAAGUUAAAACUGCAUCUAAAGAAGUUCGUGGAACAAAUUCACAGCUGAUUGACAUUGCUUUUUCUUUUAACAUGGUGAAGCGACCACAAGAUGGUGGCUUUGGAAUCCAGUGCGUUCAGUUCUGUUCAUCUGAGCACUACAUUAACUUGCAAGACAAGUUAUACGGGCGCUGCCAAGGUUCAAGAAGAGGACAGAGCCCUCAAAGCUAUGCCAGAACAGAUGAUCCUCCUUCAAUACACGGCUAACAUCCUUAUGCAGAAGAAAAGUUUUAAUUUAAGAAAUUGUCUUUAAGUGAUGAUAAAUAUGAUACUGCACAGAGAGUGAGAGAGAGAGAGAGA